UUGAGGCCGCAGGGACUGAUGACUGACAGCGCACUCGCGUCUGUGGGGGAACAGGCGCCCCCGCCUCCCGGUUGUGCCGUGAACGGUACCGCGCGCGGGCCAUGGUCCGCACUGGACGAGACCGCGUUUGCACCCUGGGCUGCUGCUCCUUCCACGCCUUCUUUCGCACACCUGGAGCUGACCGGGAGCCGCGCUUGGCUGGCAGGUGGCAGCCGGCGUGACUGACAGGGCCGUGUGUCCAGAGCAAGAAGAAGCCAUCGCGGACCAUCUGACGUCUACGGAGGGCCAUCAACAGGGAGCUGGAUCAGAGAUGGAGCAGCCGGGACUCGAACCAGCGUCCAUGUGGGAUGCCAGCACUGCAGACAGCAGCUGUACCUGCUGCACCACAGCACCGGCUCCAGACACAAACAUCCUGACCACAGCCCCAUGCCCACCCUGGACCCUGCUCUCCACUGCAAGAACUCCUGCAUUCCCCAUGCCCCCAGUUUACAACCAGAGGGGUGACGGAGGGUAUGCAUCACGGGUACUGGAACCUCCGCUGGACAGAACGCCACCUCCCAGCCAGGACAUGCGCUGUCCCCAGCAGCUCCAGUUGUGUUUUUCUGAACACAAAUCAGAGCUCUUGGAGCAGCUAAAUACAUUCAGU